rnacentral:rRNA from 1 species
GACUAGUGCCAACCACCCUGAACCCGCCCGUCUCCUCUGAUCUUGGAAGCUAAGCAGGGUCGGACCUGGUUAGUAUAUACUUGGAUAGAGACUUCCUGAGGACACCAGGCGCUCUAGGCU